GGUGGGUCCAAGUGCAGUGGUGUUUACAACUAAUUGAUCACAACCAGUUACAGAUGUCUUUGUUUCUUCUCCACUUCUCCACGCCCGCUGCUUCAAUUGACUAGCCCAAA
rnacentral:Y_RNA from 1 species